UACGUAGGGCGCAAGCGUUGUCCGGAAUUAUUGGGCGUAAAGAGCUCGUAGGCGGCUUGUCACGUCGGCUGUGAAAUCCCGGGGCUCAACCCCGUGACUGCAUCCGAUACUGUCAGGCUAGAGGUAGGUAGGGGAGAUCGGAAUUCCUGGUGUAGCGGUGAAAUGCGCAGAUAUCAGGGAGGAACACCGGUGGGCGAAGGCGGAUCUC
rnacentral:rRNA from 1 species